rnacentral:rRNA from 1 species
UUGUUAUUAAAGAAUUUCGGUUAUCGAUGGGGAUGCGUUCCAUUAGGCAGUUGGUGAGGUAACGGCUCACCAAACCUUCGAUGGAUAGGGGUUCUGAGAGGAAGGUCCCCCACAUUGGAACUGAGACACGGUCCAAACUCCUACGGGAGGCAGCAGUGAGGAAUAUUGGUCAAUGGGCGCAGGCCUGAACCAGCCAAGUAGCGUGAAGGAUGACUGCCCUAUGGGUUGUAAACUUCUUUUAUAUGGGAAUAAAGUUUUCCACGUGUGGAAUUUUGUAUGUACCAUAUGAAUAAGGAUCGGCUAACUCCGUGCCAGCAGCCGCGGUAAUACGGAGGAUCCGAGCGUUAUCCGGAUUUAUUGGGUUUAAAGGGAGCGUAGGUGGACAGUUAAGUCAGUUGUGAAAGUUUGCGGCUCAACCGUAAAAUUGCAGUUGAUACUGGCUGUCUUGAGUACAGUAGAGGUGGGCGGAAUUCGUGGUGUAGCGGUGAAAUGCUUAGAUAUCACGAAGAACUCCGAUUGCGAAGGCAGCUCACUGGACUGCAACUGACACUGAUGCUCGAAAGUGUGGGUAUCAAACAGGAUUAGAUACCCUGGUAGUCCACACAGUAAACGAUGAAUACUCGCUGUUUGCGAUAUACAGUAAGCGGCCAAGCGAAAGCAUUAAGUAUUCCACCUGGGGAGUACGCCGGCAACGGUGAAACUCAAAGGAAUUGACGGGGGCCCGCACAAGCGGAGGAACAUGUGGUUUAAUUCGAUGAUACGCGAGGAACCUUACCCGGGCUUAAAUUGCAUUUGAAUAUAUUGGAAACAGUAUAGCCGUAAGGCAAAUGUGAAGGUGCUGCAUGGUUGUCGUCAGCUCGUGCCGUGAGGUGUCGGCUUAAGUGCCAUAACGAGCGCAACCCUUAUCUUUAGUUACUAACAGGUCAUGCUGAGGACUCUAGAGAGACUGCCGUCGUAAGAUGUGAGGAAGGUGGGGAUGACGUCAA